UACGAAGGGGGGCUAGCGUUGCUCGGAAUCACUGGGCGUAAAGCGCACGUAGGCGGAUCUUUAAGUCAGGGGGUGAAAUCCUGGAGCUCAACUCCAGAACUGCCUUUGAUACUGGGGGAUCUCGAGUCCGGGAGAGGUGAGUGGAACUGCGAGUGUAGAGGUGAAAUUCGUAGAUAUUCGCAAGAACACCAGUGGCGAAGGCGGCUCACUGGCCCGAUACUGACGCUGAGGCACGAAAGCGUGGGGAGCAACAGG
rnacentral:rRNA from 1 species